AUUGCUUCUUAGCCUUUUGGCUAAGAUCAAGUGUAGCAUCUGUUCCUUUCAGUUUAAUAUCUGAUACAUUUUCUACCCAAGGACAAUAUAUUAAAUGGAUUUUUGGAAUUAGGAGGUGGGAUAGGGGCUUGCUCCCUCUACUCCAUGCAUCUGUCUGGUAUUGCAAUACUUCUAGGAAUGGUGCACCCUCU